rnacentral:rRNA from 1 species
AUUGAACGCUGGCGGCAGGCUUAACACAUGCAAGUCGAGCGAGCGGCGGACGGGUGAGUAAUGUCUGGGCAACUGUCUGAUGGAGGGGGAUAACUACUGGAAACGGUAGCUAAUACCGCAUACCAUCAGAUGUGCCCAGGUGGGAUUAGCUAGUAGGUGGGGUAAUGGCUCACCAAGGCGACGAUCCCUAGCUGGUCUGAGAGGAUGACCCGCCACACGGGAACUGAGACACGGUCCAGACUCCUACGGGAGGCAGCAGGGGGGAAUAUUGGGAAAUGGGCGCAAGCCUGAUGCAGCCAUGCCGCGUGAGUGAAGAAGGCCUUCGGGUUGUAAAGCACUUUCGGCGAGGAGGCGUUACUCAAAGAAGAAGCACCGGCUAACUCCGUGCCAGCAGCCGCGGUAAUUC